GGGGGAUUAGCUCAAAUGGUAGAGCGCUCGCUUAGCAUGCGAGAGGUAGCAGGAUCGAUGCCCGCGUCCUCCA
rnacentral:tRNA from 1 species